GUUUGCGUGUCCCAGCGGUCUAUGGUGCCACCCUGCUAAGGUGGUGUGCGGCAACGCACCGAAGGUUCGAAUCCUUUACGCAAACG
rnacentral:tRNA from 1 species